rnacentral:misc_RNA from 1 species
UGAAGCUCUCCUUAAAACUCUGUCAUGUGGUUCAAGAGUAUUACGAAUGCUUUCUUCUGGAUAAUUAUCAGUGCUAGAAGCACUUAAUGCACCAGCAAUGCAAUCCUCUCUGCGAGCAAAUAAUGUACAGCCUCGAGCUAAAAAAGCAUAAACUCUGUGUUCCCUCUCCAGAGUUUCCCAUUCUACAGAUUUGCUGCAUCCAACUUCUGAAGAAUUUUUCACACAACAGUUUGGUUCAAUAACGCGAUCUACUCUAUGCAACCAAGGAAACAUUCUCAAGCACAGCUGCUUAAAAAGACCAUUCGCAACCACAAACUCUCUCCAGGAACGUGAAACAGAACUAACACGAACAAGAUCAGAUGGAUCCUCCAAACACAUGAGAAUCCUCAUCAACAUGUCGUAAUCAAGCCAACUAAAGAAGUCUACCCGUGUCUCCAUUUUAAGCAGCUAACAAAUACCUUUGUUGACGAACACAAGUAUCAAUACCCAAAAUUCCAAACCCUAGAGAGAGAGAGAGAGAGAGAGAG